AUCAGUUGACGAGUCCAAAAUAGGACGAAACGCGCUUUAUGGAU
rnacentral:hammerhead_ribozyme from 1 species